rnacentral:rRNA from 1 species
GACGUAGGGCGCAAGCGUUGUCCGGAUUUAUUGGGCGUAAAGAGCUCGUAGGCGGUCUGUCGCGUCUGCUGUGAAAACUCAGGGCUUAACCCUGAGCUUGCAGUGGGUACGGGCAGACUAGAGUGCGGUAGGGGAGACUGGAAUUCCUGGUGUAGCGGUGAAAUGCGCAGAUAUCAGGAGGAACACCGGUGGCGAAGGCGGGUCUCUGGGCCGAUACUGACGCUGAGGAGCGAAAGCGUGGGGAGCGAACAGG